ensembl:snRNA U6 U6 spliceosomal RNA
GUGCUUGCUUCGGCAGCACAUAUACUAAAAAUUGGAACGAUACAGAGAAGAUUAGCAUGUGUGCAAGGAUGAUACGCAAAUUGAUGAAGCGUUCCAUAUUUUU